CAAUAGCGUAUAUUUAAGUUGUUGCAGUUAAAAAGCUCGUAGUCGGAUUUUGGCUGAGAACGAUCGGUCCGCCGUUAGGUGUGCACUGAUUGGUCUCAGCUUCCUGGUGAGGAGGUGUGCUUCACGGCCACUUAGUCACCGUGGUUACUUUGAAAAAAUUAGAGUGUUCAAAGCGGGCUUACGCUUGAAUAUAUUAGCAUGGAAUAACACCAUAGGACUCCUGUCCUAUUUCGUUGGUCUCGGGACGGGAGUAAUGAUUAAGAGGAACAGUUGGGGGCAUUCGUAUUUCAUUGUCAGAGGUGAACUUCUUGGAUUUAUGAAAGACGAACUUCUGCGAAGGCAUUUGCCAAGGAUGUUUUCAUUGA
rnacentral:rRNA from 1 species